ensembl:lncRNA
CUUGACCUCACCUGGAAAUGAAAUUUAGUUAUCAACAUAGGCCUUUUCUCCGGUAACCCUUUCAGAAUGCUCCCUUAUCAAAUAAGUGUGCAAAAGCCCACUUGUGCUUCCCCUGCGUGCGGGAGUCACUCUGCUUGAGGAGGGGUGGAGCUGGUCACUUGGUCAGAGCCAGGCCUCAGCUUGGCACACAGAGCUUGGCUCAAACAGGGAGGAUGGCUGUCGGCUGUGACAGUCGAGAUCAGUCUGCCUCUUAUUCUCUGGUGCUUACCUUGCACGACUUUUAACAAGAAGCCUCUAAGAGACCCUCACGUUCGUUCUUAUGCUGAUAAUGCGUCUGAUGCCUACAGGCUUUUUUCUUCAUUCUCACUUGUGGUCCCCAUUUACCCUUGCAGACAUUUCCUUAGUAAAUCUCCUGCACAUCCAGUCCCACCUUCUUAGAGGACAAACGCAGAGGUCAACGCCAUUAACUAGAGCACGUGACCCAGGGGAACAGGAACAGCUCAGGCACGAGUGCUCCAGGCAGAGAAACAGGAUCCUCUGAUUCAUGCGCUCAACUGUGUCUUCCUCUCUGGCUGCUGGAAAGAGCAGACACACAUUUAAUCUCGUCUGUAUCAGGUGUAAGGUCCUCACAGGCUGCAUCUUGGAUGCUGGCUUCACUCCUGGAUCAUGUUUGUUUGUUUGUUUGUUUUUUUAAUCAUCACUAUUGUUGCUCCUGGGACAUUAUUAUUAUUUUUUCCCUCUCAUAUCCAGUUUUGUUUUAAUCUAACCUAGUGUUUACUUUUACAAACUGCAUUUUUUUUUUUUUAAUGGAAAGGAGUUGGGAGGAGAGGCCAGGAAGUAUCGGAGUCUGACUCCUGAUGGGGCUGCCGACAGGAAAGGUCACGG